UACGUAGGGUGCAAGCGUUGUCCGGAAUUAUUGGGCGUAAAGAGCUCGUAGGCGGUUUGUUGCGUCGGCUGUGAAAUCCCGAGGCUCAACCCCGGGCCUGCAGCCGAUACGGGCAAGCUAGAAUUCGGUAGGGGAGACUGGAAUUCCUGGUGUAGCGGUGAAAUGCGCAGAUAUCAGGAGGAACACCGGUGGCGAAGGCGGAUCUCUGGGCCUGUCCUGACGCUGAGGCGCGAAAGCUAGGGGAGCGAACAGG
rnacentral:rRNA from 1 species